rnacentral:rRNA from 1 species
GACGAACGCUGGCGGCGUGCUUAGCACAUGCAAGUCGAACGGAAAGGCCCUGCUUUUGUGGGGUGCUCGAGUGGCGAACGGGUGAGUAACACGUGAGUAACCUGCCCUUGACUUUGGGAUAACUUCAGGAAACUGGGGCUAAUACCGGAUAGGAGCUCCUGCUGCAUGGUGGGGGUUGGAAAGUUUCGGCGGUUGGGGAUGGACUCGCGGCUUAUCAGCUUGUUGGUGGGGUAGUGGCUUACCAAGGCUUUGACGGGUAGCCGGCCUGAGAGGGUGACCAGCCACAUUGGGACUGAGAUACGGCCCAGACUCCUACGGGAGGCAGCAGUGGGGAAUAUUGCACAAUGGGCGGAAGCCUGAUGCAGCAACGCCGCGUGCGGGAUGACGGCCUUCGGGUUGUAAACCGCUUUCGCCUGUGACGAAGCGUGAGUGACGGUAAUGGGUAAAGAAGCACCGGCUAACUACGUGCCAGCAGCCGCGGUGAUACGUAGGGUGCGAGCGUUGUCCGGAUUUAUUGGGCGUAAAGGGCUCGUAGGUGGUUGAUCGCGUCGGAAGUGUAAUCUUGGGGCUUAACCCUGAGCGUGCUUUCGAUACGGGUUGACUUGAGGAAGGUAGGGGAGAAUGGAAUUCCUGGUGGAGCGGUGGAAUGCGCAGAUAUCAGGAGGAACACCAGUGGCGAAGGCGGUUCUCUGGGCCUUUCCUGACGCUGAGGAGCGAAAGCGUGGGGAGCGAACAGGCUUAGAUACCCUGGUAGUCCACGCUGUAAACGGUGGGUACUAGGUGUGGGGUCCAUUCCACGGGUUCCGUGCCGUAGCUAACGCUUUAAGUACCCCGCCUGGGGAGUACGGCCGCAAGGCUAAAACUCAAAGGAAUUGACGGGGCCCCGCACAAGCGGCGGAGCAUGCGGAUUAAUUCGAUGCAACGCGUAGAACCUUACCUGGGUUUGACAUGGAUCGGGAGCGCUCAGAGAUGGGUGUGCCUCUUUUGGGGUCGGUUCACAGGUGGUGCAUGGCUGUCGUCAGCUCGUGUCGUGAGAUGUUGGGUUAAGUCCCGCAACGAGCGCAACCCUUGUUCACUGUUGCCAGCACGUUAUGGUGGGGACUCAGUGGAGACCGCCGGGGUCAACUCGGAGGAAGGUGGGGAUGACGUCAAGUCAUCAUGCCCCUUAUGUCCAGGGCUUCACGCAUGCUACAAUGGCUGGUACAGAGAGUGGCGAGCCUGUGAGGGUGAGCGAAUCUCGGAAAGCCGGUCUCAGUUCGGAUUGGGGUCUGCAACUCGACCUCAUGAAGUCGGAGUCGCUAGUAAUCGCAGAUCAGCAACGCUGCGGUGAAUACGUUCCCGGG